CAGAAAACAAGACGCUGGAGAUGAGGGGAUGAUUUAGAAUUGGUACGUCUUGAUACAUCUUCACCAUGUCUAGGAUUCAGAAUGCAGCUGGAAUAUGUAUCCACACUGAGGACCUUGAAAACACUUGGCAUCUUAAAACUCAGAUGACAAAGCCUACUGCUUCCUCUGUAUUCUUUGAUGUUACAGCUGAAUUUUCAUUAAAGGCUGGAUUUUGCCAUGUUUAUAUGCUCCAUAUCUUUCUUCUGAAAUGCGUAAUGUUGCUUGUGCUUCAAAGGGAUCUAAGGGAGUCAGAAGGUAGCCUGAAAUAGAA
ensembl:lncRNA